AGUGACGUUACUUCCCUUUUUCCGGUCCGCCGGAUUAUGAAUGACGGCCGGCGCGAGUAUUUUCCACAUAAGGUGGCUGUCGUUUUUCUCCUGGCGUCUGUGGAGGCGAGUGGUCUGCGGGCAGCAGCUCCCAGAGGCAGCCUUGGAAUUCCAGCUCGGACUGGGCGGGAAGGCGCAGGCGGCCCAGGUCGCCGACACGCUCACGCACCCUCCCUGCCUGGCCGCGCCUCUGCGACCAGGUAAAGAGGGCGCUCGGGCCGCCGGCUUCUCAGCCUCCGCGACCCCCUAAGAACUGGUCUUUUCUUCGGGGGUCUGCAGGGCUGAGGAUGCGGGGGAAGGGUGGGAAGGACAAGGGCGUGGUAUCAUCGUCCUGAUUUUUCUCCCGCCCUGGGGCCGCCUCAAACUCCUUUUUGGCCACUCCUGCUGAAGGUGACCCAAUGAAAGAAGAAAAUGAAAGCCAUAAAGAAAAGUCUUACAGAAGAAGAAUACCUGUACCUGGACUUUUCUCACCAAACAGAAGGAUGCAUCUUUCCUCUUCAUACAUCUGUAACUUUAUUUCUGUUAUCUUACUG
rnacentral:lncRNA from 1 species